AGCAGAACCACGGGCACAGUGAUGACGGUGACGAGCACAGCGAUCGCCAGCAAUCCCAGGAGCACCUUCCAUGGUGUCUGCAAGUCGGGCAGGUCAGGUCCAGUUAGAGCCAGCCAUCUGGCCCCAGUCUGGGGAGGAAGAAGAUGGUUAAGUCAGCCGGCCAAGUAAAGGCAGCUAGGAAGUCGUGGAGCCUGAAUUCAGAGUACAUGUUCUUAACUGCCGCUCCACACAGCCUUUUAUCUUUCAGUCUUCCAAAGAGCAUUUGGGAAAAAAAAAAGUAAAAGAGCAGGUGUGGCUUCUUCCUCCAGGUCCCCAGGAUGCCCGUUUUCAGGAACUAAGAAGGCACAUAUGGAUAAAACAGACCCAGAAAUUCAAGUUACUUGUGUUGCUAAACAUGUGUAGAGUUUCGUAUAAAUACAAUUCAUAAAAUUAUAUUUGGCAAGAUUUGAUACAAUUGUCAAGAGUUUCUAUCCAAUGACUUUGUGCAGCACCUGGUAUAUCACACAUAGUGGCAAAAUACAGCAACCCUUGGCCCUGCAGAGACCUCCACUCUAUACAUGGAAUCUCCUUCCUGGAUCUCCGACACUCAGAGGCAUAGGAUGCCUCUUGCUCUAGCCGUGAUGACCUGCUGUCCUCUCCAGAUCCAGUUUUUUUUAACAGAGGAGUGGCCUAGGCAUUCUUAUUUUUGAAGGGAGUGAAAUAAAGCAGCCUGGAGUAACUAGGUUCUCUGAUUAAAGUUCAUGUUUUC